rnacentral:rRNA from 1 species
ACCCAAUAGAUACCCUGGUAGUCUACGCCGUAAACGAUGCGCACUAGAUUCGAGGGCCACUGACGGUCCUCGGGUCGAAAAACAAAAAAGCGUUAAGUGCGCCGCCUGGGGAGUACGGCCGCAAGGCUAAAACUCAAAGGAAUUGACGGGGGCUCACACAAGCGGUGGAGCAUGUGGAUCAAUUCGAAGCAACGCGAAGAACCUUACCUGGGUUUGACAUGCAUGGAUGGUCGCCUCGAAAGAGGAGUGAUCUGCCCGCAAGGGUGAAACAUGUACAGGUGCUGCAUGGCUGUCGUCAGCUCGUGCUGUGAAGUGUCGGGUUAAAGUCCCUUAACGAGCGAAACCCUUAUCGUUAGUUGCCAGCGGGUCAAGCCGGGAACUCUAACGAGACUGCCGGCGUUAAGCCGGAGGAAGGCGGGGACGACGUCAAGUCAUCAUGGCCUUUAUGCCCAGGGUGUCACACGUGCUACAAUGGGGCGUACAGAGCGAAGCAAGACCGCAAGGUGGAGCAAAUCGCAGAAAACGUCCCUCAGUUCGGAUU